CAGGAACAGAUGAACACUUAAGAAACAAAGAUCCUGUUUUCAUGCAAAUGUCUUUUGUCAUCAAGAACAAGGAGCUCCAGAAGAUGAUUCACACCAAGUUCGGAAUCACCCUUGUGAAGUGCCUCACUGACCACAGAAGGAAGGGAGUGAUGAACAUUUAUAAAGGGCAAUGUCUACCUGUGCAUA